rnacentral:rRNA from 1 species
AGUUUUUUGGUUUUUUAUAAAAGAUGGUUUUUGCUCAGUGUUUUGUAAAUAGCCGCGGUAAUUUGGCCGUGCAAAGGUAGCAUAAUCAUUUGCCCUAUAAUUGAGGGCUGGAAUGAAUGGAAGAACAAGGUGCCUGCUUUGUUUUAAAGAAAAAAAAAACUUUCUUUUUUAGUGAAGAAGCUAAAAUUAAUUUGGGGGACAAGAAGACCCUUUUGAGCUUUAUUAACAGUGUUUUUUUUUUGUACUUUUAAUUUGGUUGGGGCGACCGAGGAAGAGAGGAUCUUCCUUUUGUACUUUGACCCGGGGCUUCCGAGCAAUGGAUCAAGCUACCAAAGGGAUAACAGCGUAAUUUUUUUUGUGAGUUCUUAUUAAAAGAAAAGAUUGCGACCUCGAUGUUGACUUAUGGUUACCUUUUGGUGCAGCAGCUAUUAGGGGGGGUCUGUUCAACCUUUAAAACCUU